rnacentral:rRNA from 1 species
CACGUAGGGCGCAAGCGUUGUCCGGAAUUAUUGGGCGUAAAGAGCUCAGAUGAGCGGUCUGUUGCGUCCGCUGUGAAAACUCGGGGCUUAACCCCGAGCCUGCAGUGGAUACGGGCAGACUAGAGGUAGGUAGGGGAGAAUGGAAUUCCCGGUGUAGCGGUGAAAUGCGCAGAUAUCGGGAGGAACACCGGUGGCGAAGGCGGUUCUCUGGGCCUUACCUGACGCUGAGGAGCGAAAGCGUGGGGAGCGAACAGG